rnacentral:rRNA from 1 species
UGGGGAAUAUUGCGCAAUGGGCGAAAGCCUGACGCAGCGACGCCGCGUGAGGGAUGAAGGUUUUCGGAUCGUAAACCUCUGUCAGAAGGGAAGAAACCGCACUGUGCUAAUCAGCAGUGCCUUGACGGUACCUUCAAAGGAAGCACCGGCUAACUCCGUGCCAGCAGCCGCGGCAAUACGGAGGGUGCAAGCGUUAAUCGGAAUUACUGGGCGUAAAGCGCACGUAGGCUGCUUUGUAAGUCAGGGGUGAAAUCCCACGGCUCAACCGUGGAGCUGCCUUUGAGACUGCUUAGCUUGAAUCCGGGAGAGGGUGGCGGAAUUCCAGGUGUAGGAGUGAAAUCCGUAGAUAUCUGGAGGAACAUCAGUGGCGAAGGCGGCCACCUGGACCGGUAUUGACGCUGAGGUGCGAAAGCGUGGGGAGCAAACAGG